rnacentral:tRNA from 1 species
GGUCUUGUAAUGUAGUUGGUUAUCAUACUGGUUUUUGAAAAUAAAUUGAUUUGAAAAAUACCAGUAACCCCGGUUCGAAUCCGGGCAGGACCU